rnacentral:lncRNA from 1 species
AGACAGAAAGAUGCUGUUAUGCUGAAUCUAGAGUGUGUGCUGCUGGGAUUAAGGUUCUCAACAUGGAAAUGUCAAGACUGGCCCAGUCUGGCAAAAGGCCCAAUGUGUCUGCUUACUGGCUGGGAGAGGAAGCACAGCUGCCCAUCGUGAACAAGGUGAUCAGAGAGGCCAAGUAAAAAGGAGCGCCAAAGCUGAUCCUCUU